GUCAGUGCCAGAGUAAAGGAAAGAAAAAGAAGAAAGGAUUUCCUGUUUAGUUAAAGUAUGAAGUCUUGAGCUGGCAUCUUGGGUGAAAGCAGUCUAUCUUAACGUCAGCGGCUUCUCUUCCUGGUCAAUGUGGUGUGGAGGUCUCCAGCAUUUGCGUAGGACCAGAUGUCAGGUGGAACCUUCCUCAGCUGUGAGAUGUGUACCCAGGGUUCAGUGCCUUCUAGUUUCAUAGCAGUGUCAGUGUCAGGAGCACUUGCCUUUUGUAAUGAAUUUUUCAAUGAAGCUAAUUUGGAACUUGGAAGCCUUUUGGAGGCAGAAGCCAGUGAAAACAGAAACCAACAGCAACCAAGGAGAUGAGACUGUGG
rnacentral:lncRNA from 1 species